ACUGUUCAUGAUGAAGAACUCUUCUCGUACAUUUUGGCGGACCUUGAUGAAGAGUACAUCCCGAUGGUCCUUGCUUUGGUGGCUCAUGUUGAGCAUGUCACUGUAGCUGAAGCCACCUCCCAACUUCUCAGUUUUGACA
rfam:Zea mays cultivar B73 chromosome 7, whole genome shotgun sequence.